GUGUUCCUGUAGCUCAUUUGGUAGAGCAUUGCAUUAGUAAUGCAAAGGUCAUGGGUUUGAUUCCCAUGGAACACG